GUCUAAGGCCAUACCACCCUUGAACGCGCCUGAUGUGUGAUCUCUUGGAAGCUAAGCUGGGUCGGGCCUGGUUGGUACCUGGAUGGGAGACCACCUGGGAAUACUGGUUGCUGUAGGUU
rnacentral:rRNA from 1 species